rnacentral:rRNA from 1 species
CAGCCGUAAACUAUGCGCGUUAGGUGUACUGGUGACCACGAGUUACCGAGGUGCCGAAGGGAAACCGUGAAACGUGCCGCCUGGGAAGUACGGUCGCAAGGCUGAAACUUAAAGGAAUUGGCGGGGGAGCACCACAACAGGUGGAGCCUGCGGUUUAAUUGGACUCAACGCCGGGAAGCUCACCGGAUAGGACAGCAGAAUGAUUGCCGGGCUGAAGACCCUGCAUGACUAGCUGAGAGGAGGUGCAUGGCGUAGACGUCU